rnacentral:lncRNA from 1 species
GCUUUGCUGAAAUAGCUGGAGAAUGGGUCCCUGUCUCCUGCCACUUACUCGCCCUGCUCCUGGUGUACGGCACACCGCAUGUGCUAAAGUGGAUUUCUCAUCCUGCUCCAAGUUAGCCAAGAGCAUCUGUACAACCACUGGGAAGUCAACUUCACUUCAGAUCUCGCCUGCACCUCUCCACCUUAUGGUCUGCCCAGGAGCUAAUGGAUUUGGAGAUGUAGCAGACCUGGAGCUAAC